AGUGGCAAGCGUUAUCCGGAAUUAUUGGGCGUAAAGCGUCCGCAGGCGGCCUUUCAAGUCUGCUGUUAAAGCGUGGAGCUUAACUCCAUUAUGGCAGUGGAAACUGAUCGGCUUGAGUAUGGUAGGGGCAGAGGGAAUUCCCGGUGUAGCGGUGAAAUGCGUAGAUAUCGGGAAGAACACCAGUGGCGAAGGCGCUCUGCUGGGCCAUUACUGACGCUCAUGGACGAAAGCCAGGGGAGCGAAAGGGAUUAGAUACCCCUGUAGUCCUGGCCGUAAACGAUGAACACUAGGUGUCGGGGGAAUCGACCCCUUCGGUGUCGUAGCUAACGCGUUAAGUGUUCCGCCUGGGGAGUACGCACGCAAGUGUGAAACUCAAAGGAAUUGACGGGGGCCCGCACAAGCGGUGGAGUAUGUGGUUUAAUUCGAUGCAACGCGAAGAACCUUACCAGGGUUUGACAUCCUGAGAACCUCUUAGAAAUUUGAGGGUGCCUUCGGGAAUUCAGUGACAGGUGGUGCAUGGCU
rnacentral:rRNA from 1 species